rnacentral:rRNA from 1 species
UGCCAGCAGCCGCGGUAAUACGGAGGGUGCAAGCAUUAAUCGGAUUUAUUGGGCGUAAAGGGCGUGUAGGCGGGAAGAUAAGUCGGAUGUGAAAUCCCAGAGCUCAACUCUGGAACUGCAUUCGAAACUAUUUUUCUUGAGGGUAGACGGAGAAAACGGAAUUCCACAAGUAGCGGUGAAAUGCGUAGAUAUGUGGAAGAACACCGGUGGCGAAGGCGGUUUUCUAGUUUACACCUGACGCUGAUGCGCGAAAGCUAGGGGAGCGAACAGGAUUAGAUA